UACGUAGGCAGCAAGCGUUGUUCGGAGUUACUGGGCGUAAAGGGUGUGUAGGCGGUUGUUUUAAGUUUGAUGUGAAAUCUCCCGGCUCAACCGGGAGGGUGCGCCGAAUACUGAGUGACUAGAGUGCGGGAGAGGAAAGUGGAAUUCCUGGUGUAGCGGUGAAAUGCGUAGAUAUCAGGAGGAACACCGGUGGUGUAGACGGCUUUCUGGACCAUAGCUGACGCUGAGACACGAAAGCGUGGGUAGCAAACAGG
rnacentral:rRNA from 1 species